rnacentral:rRNA from 1 species
UAAGACGGAGGGUGCGAGCGUUGUCCGGAAUUACUGGGCGUAAAGCGCGCGUAGGCGGCUAUCUAAGUCACCUGUGAAAUUCCGGAGCUCAACUCCGCGGGUGCAUGUGAUACUAGGUGGCUAGAGCACGGUAGAGGCGAGUGGAAUUCCCGGUGUAGCGGUGGAAUGCGUAGAUAUCGGGAGGAACACCGAAGGCGAAGGCAGCUCUCUGGGCCAAUACUGACGCUGAGGCACGAAAGCGUGGGGAGCAAACAGGAUUAGAUACCCUGGUAGUCCACGCUGUAAACGAUGGGCACUUGGUGGUGGGGGAUUCGACCCCUUCACUGUCGGAGCUAACGCGUUAAGUGCUCCGCCUGGGGACUACGACCGCAAGGUUG